CUCUUAAGAUUGAGCUGUGAUGGGGAGAGGAACUUGUUCCUCGAGUCGUUGAUUUCACACUGCCGAGAAAAGCCUCUAGCUAGAAUAACGGUGCCCGUACCGCAAACCGACACAGGUAGUCAAGAUGAGAAUUCUAAGGUGAGCGAGCGAACUCUCGUUAAGGAACUCGGCAAAAUGACCCCGUAACUUCGGGAGAAGGGGUGCUCUUUGAGGUUCACGCUUCGAAGAGCCGCAGUGAAUAGGCCCAAGCGACUGUUUAUCAAAAACACAGGUCUCUGCUAAACCGUAAGGUGACGUAUAGGGGCUGACGCCUGCCCGGUGCUGGAAGGUUAAGAGGAGUGGUUAGCGCAAGCGAAGCUACGAAUCGAAGCCCCAGUAAACGGCGGCCGUAACUAUAACGGUCCUAAGGUAGCGAAAUUCCUUGUCGGGUAAGUUCCGACCCGCACGAAAGGCGUAACGAUUUGGGCACUGUCUCAACGAGAGACUCGGUGAAAUCAUAGUACCGGUGAAGAUGCCGGUUACCCGCGACAGGACGGAAAGACCCCGUGGAGCUUUACUGUAGCCUGAUAUUGAAAUUCGGUACAGUUUGUACAGGAUAGGUAGGAGCCUUAGAAGCGUGAGCGCUAGCUUACGUGGAGGCAUUGGUGGGAUACUACCCUAAUUGUAUUGGAUUUCUAACCCGCAGCACUUAUCGUGCUGGGAGACAGUGUCAGGCGGGCAGUUUGACUGGGGCGGUCGCCUCCUAAAGAGUAACGGAGGCGCUCAAAGGUUCCCUCAGAAUGGUUGGAAAUCAUUCAUAGAGUGUAAAGGCAUAAGGGAGCUUGACUG
rnacentral:rRNA from 1 species